rnacentral:rRNA from 1 species
GAUGAACGCUGGCGGCGUGCUUAACACAUGCAAGUCGAACGAUGAACCGGGUGCUUGCACUCGGGGAUUAGUGGCGAACGGGUGAGUAACACGUGAGCAACCUGCCCCUGACUCUGGGAUAAGCGCUGGAAACGGCGUCUAAUACUGGAUAUGUCCCGUCACCGCAUGGUGUGCGGGUGGAAAGAUUUUUCGGUUGGGGAUGGGCUCGCGGCCUAUCAGCUUGUUGGUGAGGUAAUGGCUCACCAAGGCGGCGACGGGUAGCCGGCCUGGGAGGGGGACCAGCCACACUGGGACUGAGACACGGCCCAGACUCCUACGGGAGGCAGCAGUGGGGAAUAUUGCACAAUGGGCGGAAGCCUGAUGCAGCAACGCCGCGUGAGGGAUGACGGCCUUCGGGUUGUAAACCUCUUUUAGCAGGGAAGAAGCGAGAGUGACGGUACCUGCAGAAAAAGCACCGGCUAACUACGUGCCAGCCGCCGCCGUAA